GUGUUUGCUCAGUGGCAGUAUCGUAACCAAUGAGGCUUAUCAGAGGUGCGAUUAUUGCUAGUUGAAAAUUUUUCCAAAAUGUGCGUGUGCACGCGCUUGCACGUGUAUUAUCAAUAAGAAUGAUUGAAUGACUGACCGGU